rnacentral:rRNA from 1 species
AUUGAACGCUGGCGGCAUGCCUAACACAUGCAAGUCGAACGAGUGGCGGACGGGUGAGUAAUGUCUGGGAAACUGCCUGAUGGAGGGGGAUAACUACUGGAAACGGUAGCUAAUACCGCAUACCAUCGGAUGUGCCCAGAGUGGAUUAGCUAGUAGGUGGGGUAAAGGCUCACCUAGGCCACGAGCCCUAGCGGGUCUGAGAGGAUGACCAGCCACACGUGAACUGAGACACGGUCCAGACUCCUACGGGAGGCAGCAGUGGGGAAUAUUGCACAAUGGGCGAAAGCCUGAUGCAGCAAUGCCGCGUGUAUGAAGAAGGCCUUCGGGUUGUAAAGUACUUGUAGCGGGGAGGCGUUACCCGCAGAAGAAGCACCGGCUAACUCCGUGCCAGCAGCCGCGGUAAUAC